rfam:Erinaceus europaeus unplaced genomic scaffold scaffold00697, whole genome shotgun sequence
GGAUGAAAGCUGACUCCUCACUUUAACUAGGAAUCCUUGGAAAAGUUGAAAAAAGAGAGUGAGAACCCCAUGAGACUAUCUAAUUGGUUCCAAGGUCC